CCUACGGGAGGCAGCAGUGGGGAAUUUUGGACAAUGGACGCAAGUCUGAUCCAGCCAUGCCGCGUGCGGGAAGAAGGCCUUCGGGUUGUAAACCGCUUUUGUCAGGGAAGAAACGGCUUUUUCUAAUACAGAGAGCUAAUGACGGUACCUGAAGAAUAAGCACCGGCUAACUACGUGCCAGCAGCCGCGGUAAUACGUAGGGUGCAAGCGUUAAUCGGAAUUACUGGGCGUAAAGCGUGCGCAGGCGGUUAUGCAAGACAGAUGUGAAAUCCCCGGGCUCAACCUGGGAACUGCAUUUGUGACUGCAUAGCUAGAGUACGGUAGAGGGGGAUGGAAUUCCGCGUGUAGCAGUGAAAUGCGUAGAUAUGCGGAGGAACACCGAUGGCGAAGGCAAUCCCCUGGACCUGUACUGACGCUCAUGCACGAAAGCGUGGGGAGCAAACAGGAUUAGAUACCCUGGUAGUCCACGCCCUAAACGAUGUCAACUGGUUGUUGGGAGGGUUUCUUCUCAGUAACGAAGCUAACGCGUGAAGUUGACCGCCUGGGAAGUGCCGCAAGUUGAAACUUNAAGGAUUGAGGCUUGAGACGNGCGAGGCGACGACGAGGGAGGAGG
rnacentral:rRNA from 1 species